rnacentral:ncRNA from 1 species
GGGUCCGAUGGCGUGUGCUGUCGGAGGAAAACCCGGGGGUCGGGCCGCCAUCCG